rnacentral:lncRNA from 1 species
AGGGAGAGAACUCCUCCAAAUUCCCAAACCUCUCGCGCCGCUCGGACCUAGCUAGACUCUCUCUACUGUCGCUCCGACGGCGGCGCCGAUAGAACGCCGCGACGCAGGCCACCCCUUCCCCCUUCCCCGUCGGCGGUCGCAGAUCACCCGGCGUCUAGUCCACCUGCUCUUCACCACCAACUCCAGAUUCCAGUUUCCGGCGGUUCUCCACUUCUCCUUCAACUCUUCAAGUGAGUACUAUUGGGAAUAGAAAUUGUGUGCAGAUUUUGAAUAUACUAUGGGGUGAUUGAGAUGAAUAUGCUAAUGGGGUGAUUGAGAUGCAUAUGCUUUGAUUAUGUCGAAAUUGUGUGCAGAUUUUUAGAUUUUUUUGGAGAAAUUGUUUGUUGCUUGUAGAAUAGCUGCCAUUUUGAAAAAGGCAAUUCUAUAUCCUCGUUAUUCCUCUUUAGAGAGACGGGAGUAGCUAGUGAGGUCUUGUUUCAGAAGAGUAAGUUCAAAUAUGAUUCUGAUUGCUUUAAUGAUGCCAAAUUCCAGACUUUGUGCUGGUGGUGUAACAGAGGCGUAGCUACGCGUUUAAAGCUUUUGCGUUCAGUUCGCAACCUGUUUGUAGAAUUUCCAAGAUAAAUUCUGUGUGGCAAAGUAUGGGAGAGAAGAAGAAAGGCUCCAAUCCGUCAAGGGGGCGGCCUGCCGCACGGUUCCAUAACGCUGAGAGAAGAAUCGACUGGUAAAAAACACGGCAACGUAAAUUCCAAAACCAUGUGCAAGAUCGAUCAUCUGAAAAAAUUAGCAUUGUGGGCGGCUGCCGAAGCCUCCGUUCCUUCUCUCGGCACUUUCUUCGGGGAGCGUCUCGCUGCUACCAACGAAACAUUGGGUCUUCGCGGUGACCCAUCUUCCUUUGAUUGUGAAAGGUUGAGUCUUUUAAUAGUUUAGAUUGCAUAUUUUGUUCAUGUUGAUGUUUAGCAUUAAAUGCUUACUUCUACAUUCGAUUUUGUGCUAUUAUGUGUAUCCAGUUGAGCAGUAUGCAUAAGUUAAGCUAGCUAGGUUAGGGAUUUAGGAGUUUCAUUUGGAUGAACAAUGAAUUCAAGCAUUUAGAGGUGUUUGGUUAAGCUUAUUUUGGAGAGUUUAUAAGGCUCCAAAAACUUAUGAGAUGUUUAAAGAGUUUGUAAAAUGUAAUAUCUCAAGAGUUUAUAAGUUUAAAAGUGUUUGGAUAAUUGAGUUUAUAAGCUAGAGAGAGAACUGUGAGUUAGAGAAAGAAAUUACUAGUUAGAUAUAGAAAAUUGAAGAUAGAUGAAAUUNAAUUAGUUUCAAUACAUUAUAAUUUUUUUUAGCAUUUCAUACAUAUUAGGCAUUUUUUAUUAAAAGCAAGUAUAAUAGUAAUAAUAACAAACAAUAUUUCAUAGAUCAUAUAGUUUUAAAAAACAAAAUUAUCCUUAAUUAAGUAUAUAUGAGAGAAUAUAAUAGAUAUAAACAUAUAUCUAUAUAUAUUUUAAAAAAAAAAACUAAAAAAUUUGGGAGGGGGCGUCUAGCCCCCCCUACGCCCCCCUGGCUCCGUCCCUGCUUGUACGUACCAAUGGCUCCCCUCCUCCACAAGCCACACACACACGGGGCGAAGCCAUUAUGGGGCUAGGGUGGCUUCUCGACGUCCUUGGUGGUCAUAAGCUCCCUCGCUUUAACCUAUCUAUCAGUGCGUAGGUAGAAUAUGAUCGCGUAGGGGCUAUGGAGACCGAAGAUCAAUUUAGGCUAUCACAAUUAGGAAUGAGCAUUCGGUUUGGUUCGAACUGACGAAACUGAUGACUGACAUAGAAAAAAUAAGUGGACCAGCCCGGACCAGCCUGUAUUCGGUCCAGGACUGUUCUACAAUAAGGAACCGAUAUAAGUUCGUGUUGAAAAUAACCAUCUGCAUAAGUCAAAGAUUAUUAUUCAAAGAUCAUGAAUAAUAAUUCAACGAUAAAAUCUUUAGCUUUUGAUUUUAAGAGAUUGUAGUUUGACAUUUGAUUCACCCUUACACUAUAAAAGGGUUCAUUGUAAUCUAAAGAAAGAUAUCAGAGACAUUACCAAUUCUCUCUACAUUCUCUAUCAUGUUGUUCUUUCUCAACCUAGCUUCUCUCGAUUACCAUAUUUAAGAUGGUAUCAGAGCAGGUUAACCACCAAAAAGAACCCUACAAAUUUACUACACACCAAACCAAAGCAGAAAAAAAAUUUAUGCAAUCUAGAGAGAGAGAGGAGCAGGUGAAGGGUUGGGAGAGAAGGUGAAUAGUAAAGUUACCGUUCAAGGUGACGUGGCAGUUACUGUUCAAGGUGACGUGGCAGUUACUGUUCAGCACUGUAUAUUUUUUCCUCCCCUACAAAUUUGCUCAACAUCAAAUCAAACCAUGUCAGAACAAGAAACUUCAGACACAGAAAAAACUAGCCACACCCCACCAAAUUUCCCGAUGGAAUUUGCUGCACAAUUUGCAGAAUUCCUCAAACAAAUCCUCAAAUCCUCUGAAUCGCCGACCGUAGGAAUCGGGUCCGAACUCGCCGCGGUCAACCACAGUCGACCACCACCGCUCUCCAAUCGACCACAACAAGGAAAUCAAACCUGGAACAACAGGAAAGGGGAAAUCGACAAGAGCAAACUCGUUUGCACACACUGUGGAGGUAAAAAACAUACCAAGGAGGGAUGUUUCUUACUCAUCGGAUUUCCCGAAUGGUGGGACGAAAUGAAGAAAUCAAGAGCUGCGUCCAAAAAUCGGAAUCAACCGUGGAGCCCGAAUGGACAAGCGACGGUGGCGGUCAGCGGCACAAGACCGACGUCAAUCGUGUCUGCUACAACGACUGGCGGGGCGUGGUCAGGCGGUGAUACACGAGCCGCCAACGCCGGAACUCCGGCAGGCAACGUCAGACCACCACCGCCACAGACGCGCAUUAACGAGGAGAGAGGAGGUGCCCUGGCGGCUAGGGUUCACGAAGGGGAAGGUAAUGAGGGGUUAUACCUUUUAAACCCCUCACUCAUUCACAGCUCUUAUUUUGUUCAGACCUUAGCAGUAUCCUCCUCUAAUUCUGGAACACCAUAUAAGACUACAUUGGAUUUUUGAUUGUGGAGCCACAGAUACUAUGUCCUUUGAUGCCUCGGAUUUUAUGGAAAUUUUUCCUACCCAGAAAAAAUAUGUUAAAACUGCUAGUGGAAAUUUAGCAUAUGUAGAAGGAGCUGGAACUAUUAAAUUAUCCUCUGAAUUAUGUCUUCCAAACUGCUUAUAUAUCCCGUCUUUAUCCCACAAAUUGGUGUCUGUUAGCCAAGUAACGAGAGAAUUACACUGUAACUUACUAAUGCAGCCUGGCUUCUGCACUUUACAGGAUACGAGGACGGGGAAGAUAGUUGGGCGUGGCACUGAAUAUCGAGGACUCUACUAUGUGGAUAGGAUGGCUCAACAGGGUGCUGUGAUGCUAACUCAAGGACUGGCAGAGGAACAGACUUGGCUUUGGCAUAGGCGGUUAGGACACCCAUCCAUAGGAUAUUUAAGGUUAAUUUAUCCAAACCUUAUUACUUCACACCCUUUGAACUGUGAGACAUGUUUUCUGGCUAAGAGCCAUCGUCACAGUUUUAAACUUAAUAAUACUCGUGUGAAGUCAGUUUUCUCUUUACUUCACUCUGAUGUUUGGGGUCCAGCUCCGGUUACUAGUGAUAAUGGGUUUAGAUAUUUUUUGUUAUUUGUUGACGAUUGUUCUAGAAUGACGUGGGUAUAUUUCUUAAAAUCCAAAAGUGAAGUUUUUGAAAAGUUCACCCACUUCUAUAAUCUAGUACAAACACAAUACAAGAAAAAUAUUCAAAUCCUUAGAUCUGAUAAUGGGGGGGAGUAUGUAAAUUCCAAGAUGCAAAACUUCUUCACUGAAAAAGGCCUUGUCCACCAAACAACAUGUCCUUACACACCUGAACAGAAUGGGGUAGCUGAACGGAAAAAUAGGAUCAUUUUAGAGAUGACUAGAGCCCUUAUCAUCGACUCCCAAGUCCCUAAAUCUUACUGGCCCGAAGCCGUAGCUACCUCUGUUUACCUCUUGAAUCGACUGCCAACUCAUAUCCUAAACUUUAAACCACCCCUUGAGUUCCUAGCUACUCACUCUGAAAUACCCUCAUCCCUCACACUGGAACCCAGAAUUUUUGGAUGCACCGUUUAUGUUCAUAUCCCUAAACAAAAUCGUACAAAGUUCUCACCAAAUGCUGUUAAGUGUGUUUUCCUGGGGUAUGGCAAAAAUCAGAAGGGGUAUAGAUGUUAUGAUCCUGUAGCUAAUCACCUAUACACUACCUUAAACUGUGACUUCGUUGAAACAGAAUAUUUUUUCCUACCAACAUGGGAGUCAGGGGGAGAAAAAGGAGAUUGUCGACUCCCUAAGUUGGCUCCAUACGCCAUCCACUGUCCAAACAACCCUUCAUUCCCUACCUUCUCAUCCGUCUCAAACUAGCUCAGUGUCAUUGCCAGGUUCUGUGCCAGACGUUGGUCCAACAGAGAAGGUUAGCACACCCGCCGAGACAUCUACAACACAGGUUCAGUUCGAGAUGUCCAGCGAGUCGACCCCACUAUCAACCCCAUCUUCAAAUCCUGAGGUAAGUAAUCUCAAUAGUUCUCAAGUUAAUACUAACAUUGAGGAACAGAGGGAUGAAGACACUGACACAGAAACUGGAAGGGAUACGGAUGAAGAUGAUGAACGUACUGAGUUAGCAGGUGCCACAGAUCAGUACACAUUGCCUCCCCGAAGUACAAGGGGAAAACCACCAAAGCGAUACUCUCCAGACUGGCAGGGACGGAAGACUAGGUACUCGAUUGCCAACCUUGCCCAAGGACAACUCACAGAGAUGGCACGGGCCUUUGAAGCAGCUCUUUAUGAAGAGGAGGAUGUACCCCAGACAGUAGAAGAGGCAAGGAGACAUAAACAUUGGAGGGAUGCCAUGAAGAAGGAAAUGGAUGCACUAAUUAAGAAUGGGACAUGGGAAAGAUGUGUGCUGCCAGAAGGAAAGAGGCCAGUGGGAUGCAGAUGGGUUUUUUCAAUCAAAAGGCGAGCAGAUGGUUCAAUCGAGAGGUACAAAGCUAGGUUGGUUGCAAAAGGAUACACUCAGACCUACGGGAUAGACUAUGAAGAAACAUUCUCACCAGUGGCCAAGAUGAACACAGUAAGAACACUUCUCUCAGUAGCAGCAUGCAAGGAUUGGCCUUUGCAUCAGUUGGAUGUAACUAAUGCCUUCCUACAUGGAGAAUUGGAUGACAAUGCAGAGAUAUAUAUGGAAGUUCCCCCAGGUUAUUCCGAAGAGUUCGAUGCAGGUCAAGUGUGCAGGCUAAAGAAGACACUCUAUGGAUUGAAGCAAUCGCCCAGAGUAUGGUUCGGGAGAUUCUGUUUAGCUAUGGCAAAAAAUGGCUAUAAACAGAGUAACUCUGAUCAUACAUUAUUCGUGAAACGAAGAGAAGGAAAGGUAACAUGUUUAAUCAUUUAUGUUGAUGACAUGAUUAUCACAGGAGACGAUGUUGAAGAGAUAGUAAACCUGAAGAAAAACUUGUUCCUGGAAUUUGAAAUGAAAGACCUUGGAUCUCUGAAGUACUUCCUUGGAAUUGAGAUUUUAAGGUCGAAAAAGGGAAUCUUCCUGAGACAAAGAAAGUAUGUCCUUGACUUACUUGCAGAAACUGGGCUACUCGAGUGUAAACCUGCAGAAACACCGAUUGUGAUAAAUCAUGGAUUAACAAUUGUUGAGGGAGCUGACUUAACAGAUCAAGGAAAAUACCAGCGCCUUGUUGGGAAACUCAUCUAUCUCUCCCAUACACGGCCCGACAUCACAUAUGCAGUUGGAAUAGUAAGUCAGUUUAUGCACAAACCCCAGAAGGAGCAUAUGGAGGCAGCUUUGAGAAUUGUCCGGUAUCUGAAAGGAACCACUGAUUAUGGGAUUUUGCUUGAAAAAAAGGAAGAUUUGGAAGUUGACGGGUUUACAGACGCAGAUUGGGCCAGUAACCCAAAUGAUAGGAAAUCUACCGCCGGAUAUUUUACCUUCGUUGGAGGAAACUUGGUCACAUGGAGAAGCAAAAAACAGAAAGUAGUGGCCCUAUCAAGUGCAGAGGCAGAAUUCAGAGGAGUAAAAAGUGGGAUAACUGAAAUCCUGUGGCUUCGGAGAUUGCUCACAGAGAUUGGCUUUCCUCCAAGAAGGGGAAGUCGGCUCUUCUGUGACAAUAAAGCUGCGAUUAGUAUAUCUGAAAAUCCCGUACAACACGACAGAACCAAACACGUGGAGAUCGAUCGGCAUUUCAUCAAAGAGAAGCUCGAUAGUGGGAUCAUUGAACUUCCUUUCAUACGAUCGGAUGAACAGUUGGCUGACAUAUUGACUAAGGCUGUAAACACAAAAGUCUUCAGAGAAGUUCUGGACAAGUUAAGUAUCGGAAAUGCCAUUACUCAACUUGAGGGGGAGUGUUGAAAAUAACCAUCUGCAUAAGUCAAAGAUUAUUAUUCAAAGAUCAUGAAUAAUAAUUCAACGAUAAAAUCUUUAGCUUUUGAUUUUAAGAGAUUGUAUUUGAUUUUAAGAGAUUGUAGUUUGACAUUUGAUUCACCCUUACACUAUAAAAGGGUGCAUUGUAAUCUAAAGAAAUAUAUCAGAGACAUUACCAAUUCUCUCUACAUUCUCUAUCAUGUUGUUCUUUCUCAACCUAGCUUCUCUCGAUUACCAUAUUUAAGAGCCAUCACUUCGCGCCAUCGGUCCCGAUGUAGUCAAACCCACCGAGAACCGAACCGAACUCUGUAUUUAUUAAAUAUAUUAUUUUAUAUUUUAAUUAAUACUAUUAUUAUUAUUUUAAUUAAUUUCCCAAAAUCUGAAGUUAAAUGAAUUCUGAAUCAGGGACAGAACUCCUCCAAAUUCCCAAACCUCUACUGUCGCUCCGAUGGCGGCGCCGAUAGAACGCCGCGACGCAGGCCACCCCUUCCCCUUCCCCGUCGGCGGUCGCAGAUCACCCGGCGUCUAGUCCACCUGCUCUUCACCACCAACUCCAGAUUCCAGUUUCCGGCGGUUCUCCACUUCUCCUUCAACUCUUCAAGUGAGUACUAUUGGGAAUAGAAAUUGUGUGCAGAUUUUGAAUAUACUAUGGGGUGAUUGAGAUGAAUAUGCUAAUGGGGUGAUUGAGAUGCAUAUGCUUUGAUUAUGUCGAAAUUGUGUGCAGAUUUUUAGAUUUUUUUGGAGAAAUUGUUUGUUGCUUCUAGAAUAGCUGCCAUUUUGAAAAAGGCAAUUCUAUAUCCUCGUUAUUCCUCUUUAGAGAGACGGGAGUAGCU